AUCUCUGUAGAGUCUGCAUAUCAAUAAGCGGAGGAAAAGAAACUAACUAGGAUUCCCUCAGUAACGGCGAGUGAAGCGGGAAGAGCUCAAAUUUGAAAUCUUCAAGGUUCUACCUUGACGAAUUGUAGUUUAAAGAAGUGUUUUCUGUUGGAGUUUUGGUAAAAGUUCUUUGGAAUAGGACAUCAUAGAGGGUGAGAAUCCCGUAUUUGACCAUUAUUUCCAGCUUUGUGAUACACUUUCAAAGAGUCGGAUUGUUUGGGAAUGCAGUCCAAAAUGGGUGGUAAAUUUCAUCUAAAGCUAAAUAUUGGCGAGAGACCGAUAGCGAACAAGUACCGUGAGGGAAAGAUGAAAAGAACUUUGAAAAGAGAGUUAAACAGUACGUGAAAUUGUCAAAAGGGAAGCGUUUGACACCAGUGUUGUUUUCUCGAAAAUCAAUUAAAAAAUGGCAUGAUUUUGUGUUGUAUUGACUUUAUCAGCUUUCUGCACUCUUUUCUUGUCUUUUUUAAUGCACUUUUCGUUUAACAAGUCAACAUCAAUUUCUUUUGUUGUAAAAGGGUCAUUGGAAGGUGGCUUUCUUUUCGGAGAAAGUGUUUAUAACCUUUGGCCUCUGCAAUCGGAGAGAUUGAGGUCUGCAGCGUAGAUCCUUCGGGGUUAGAUACAUUUGUGCUAAGUUAUAGCCUUUCAUAGACGACUUGUUGACUAUGAUCAGUCAUGUAGCUUACUCGCUUAUGCUACUUUACCUACGCUUAGGAUGUUGAAGUCAUCGUAUCGCGC
rnacentral:rRNA from 1 species